rnacentral:misc_RNA from 1 species
GAUGAAGAACGCAGCGAAAUGCGAAAAGUAGUGUGAAUUGCAGAAUUCAGUGAAUCAUCGAAUCUUUGAACGCACAUUGCGCCCCUUGGUAUUCCAUGGGGCAUGCCUGUUCGAGCGUCAUUUUGUACCCUCAAGCACUGCUUGGUGUUGGGCGUUUGUCCUGCAGAGGACUCGCCUGAAAGCGAUUGGCGGCCAACGUAGUCGUGGCAGAGCGCAGCACAAUCUCGCGUCUCUCCCCUCUGCGUCGGCGUCCAUGAAGCCCACAAUCUCAACGUUUGACCUCGGAUCAGGUAGGGAUACCCGCUGAACUUAAGCAUAUCAUAAGCGGAGGA